CCCGGUAUAGGCAUGUCUGGAGGGCUCGGUAUUCCUCGAAUAGUUUCGGUUAGUAAACAAGCGUGUGAUAGGUAAUUACGUGUAACUGACGAGAUCUUCAUCGUGCCUCAUUAUCCAUUCAAGCAUCCCCCAGCCUCCGAUCUCUUGUCACCGAACGUUGCUCAGGGGCCCUCUCUGUCUCGUUACCCAGCCCUCCUCCUCCCCCUACAAUCUCACAUACACACACGAUACAGAGAGUUACACUGAGACAGUUUGACUAUCCUCUUCAAGCAAACGCUUUUCACCAACCGCUCAAACAGUGUCUUCAGUUAACUCGUUCCGUGUGCACUAACCCGAUGGGUUUACGAGCCCAACGCUGGACGAUAAUUAAGGUGUGUUUAUCGGUAGAUAUAGGGCUCGGUGCUGUGAUGUCACUGAUGCCCAACGAGACGUAAACAUUCAGGUUGAAUGGAUUUAUUCUUUCUACUGACUCCAUCACCACUUGAGUAUUUGUUUUUCCACUAAAAAUUCCAUUUCAUUUUUAAAAAAUACCUAGAAAAUAUCAGUUAACUAUAAAUUUCAAAGUAAAUUUGUAUAUUACGAAUGUAAUGAAUCAAUGAUUCUCAAUGGAAGUUCCGAAUAACGGAUUUCAUGACGUGAUGUCACUUGCGCCUAACGAGCCGUAAACAUCAAUGGUAUAAGGUCUGCCUGCCCUUGUCCCUUCGCCCGCGCCCUCAUCACAAUGUGUGGACCCCAAAGGCAAAAGAGGCAGGAGAGGAAAAGGGCGCUGGCUGUAGGAGAGGAACACGACUGUGUACGUGAGUGCGCCACGGCUGGGGACCAGGGGGCCGCGGGAUUGAAAUGUAUCUUGAUCUUGGGGAAGUGGAUUUACAUAAUUGCUUCAACCUCGCGCUGUCUUUCUCCAGGGCGUGCGCCCGCGAGAGACCGACAUCAACUUGUGUAAAGGUUUUCUCUACUCCCCUCUUGGCGAUAUUGGAUUUCACGGUGCAUCGACGAAAGGCGGAAAACGAGCCAUAAACAGGAGAAGAGAAUCAUCCUGCCGACAGUGUUAUUGUUGUUGAUUUUUUUGAGAGGAUUUAUUUUGCUGUUGAGAUUUUUUUUGGGUUCAGAGUUUAUUUUAAAGUGAUGUCGCUUGAGGAGGGCAAUAAAAGCCUUUAUUUGCUAUUUUUUU